CCUACGGGAGGCAGCAGUCGAGAAUCAUUCACAAUGGGGGAAACCCUGAUGGUGCGACGCCGCGUGGGGGAAUGAAGGUCUUCGGAUUGUAAACCCCUGUCAUGUGGGAGCAAAUUAAAAAGAUAGUACCACAAGAGGAAGAGACGGCUAACUCUGUGCCAGCAGCCGCGGUAAGACAGAGGUCUCAAGCGUUGUUCGGAAUCACUGGGCGUAAAGCGUGCGUAGGCUGUUUCGUAAGUCGGGUGUGAAAGGCGCGGGCUCAACCCGCGGACGGCACAUGAGACUGCGGGACUAGAGUAAUGGAGGGGGAACCGGAAUUCUCGGUGUAGCAGUGAAAUGCGUAGAUAUCGAGAGGAACACUCGUGGCGAAGGCGGGUUCCUGGACAUUAACUGACGCUGAGGCACGAAGGCCAGGGGAGCGAAAGGGAUUAGAUACCCCAGUAGUC
rnacentral:rRNA from 1 species